ACUGAAACGUGGAGGGGUUGUUUGAUGUGGAGGGACUUUGGGUUUUUGUUUGUGGUGUUUUUGUUAGGUUUGUUGGUUUUUACCAGCAAACCAUCCUCUUUGUAAUGUCAAAAUAUUUUAAGUAAACAGCUUUUUUAGUUCUCAGUGCACAGGGAAGUUAUUCACCCCUCUUCCAUUCGCUGCUUUGAGCAGUAUUUCCAAAAUCAUCUCUCCACAAGAUGUGUCAGCUGGGAAGCACAGGGGACACAUGAGCCAAGGGCAACUUCAGAUUGUGUAGGGUUGUAGAUUUUUAGUGCCUAAUGUGAAAAUUAGGCUUUGUCUUACUAAACUGAAAUGAAUUUCCAAUGUUUAUAUGUCUGCGUCUCAAGGCAGUGAAUGUAUUGAAAUUGAAGAUAAACACAUGGAGUUAUUUGACCAUUGUGACGCAGGCACAGCCCGUUUUUCUCAGUUACCAGGAAGGUGGCUGUGGUGUCUGCCACACCUUUGGUGUUUGUCCUGACUUUGACCUUGUUGCAGAAGACUGUAAAGUGAAUUUUGGCAUCCCUGAGGCCCAGGCCUGCCAUGUAUGACCGUGCCUUUGCUCAGCUGUCUGGAUUUCAGUGUUCAGCAAAGAGGAGUGAAUGGAGCUGCAGAGGAGGACAAGCUUUGGAAUGCAUCUGGCCAUUAAAGCAGCUUUUUAUUCAGGGUUGUGCAAGUGUUAGGAGCUGCUUCCCAAAGGAUUAAACUCCUUGUCAGCUUGAGAUCAGCAGCUGAAGGAGCUCUCGUUGGAGACAAACUGCCAGUGCCUCGUAGAGAUAAUGUGUAAAAAAGUAAUCUCUUCCAGAAUAUCACCAAGCUUGCUCACAUUUGCCAGACCAAGUCCAGUGUUUCUUCCAGAGUAAAGCAACAGCUGGAAAUAAAAACCAAUUCUUCUGAUCUCCAGCACAGAGGGACCUUUUGAAAAUUGUUCUUCAUUUUGCUUUAGAUGUUCAGAAUCCUCAGAUUAUAAUUAGAAUAUUUAAAGCAUUUUGUAUAUUUUGUAUAUUUAUAUUUUGUAUAUUUAUAUAUAUUUAAAGCAUAUUGUGUAUCUAAUAUGGGAAGCAUCCAAAUAAACAAGAUACACACACUUCGUUCUUCUAGCACAUGUAACAUCAGUUUCAUGCAGAAGUUUUAAAAUAAUAGUUUAAUAUAAAUAACAGCUCAAACAUAAAUAUUUAAAUGGCCUAGUCAGUGUGGAGUUUUUUCUUUGGUUUGGGUUUUUGGAUUGUUUUUUUAAAAUAAUCUCAGAGUAAUUCUGUGGGAAAGAGGUGGUGCAAGUUAUGCAGGGAGAAAGGUGUCUGGUUAGAAGUGGAGAACAUUGGCAGAAGAGUUUGUGUUGUGGAAGGAAAAACUGAUAAUCUCUCACUACAUACUCAAUGACAUACACUACAAUUCACUACAAUUCACAACAUAUUCAGUUCCAGAACUGGGAAACAUUAUAUAAAGCAAAUGCUACCAGAAAUUUUUUAUGAAAGUAAAAAGUCUAUUUAGUGCCAAGUGCAGUGAUUUGUUUAGUCAUGCUUUCAGUGCCUGCAGUUUUGAUUUUCCUGUAUUUAAAAAUUCAGCGCCACAUUAAAUUGUCUUACACAAUACCGUUGCUUUUCUGGAAAUGAUAAAUCUGCUCAUUGAUUUUCUAAUUUUAUUAUGUACACAGCUAAUUGUAAUCCAAGAUUACAGCAAACAAGAUGUUAAUUUCUAGACAACCUAUGUACAUUUCCCUCAGAGUGCGAGUGCUACAGAAGCAAAGAGUACAAAGAGAAUACCAUUUGUGCUAUCCUCACAGGAGCUGUCAAUAAAAGAUGUAAUAGGGGAUUUAGGAAUCUGGAAAUGGCCAACUAAUUUAUGUGAAUCUAUUUUAUUUCAGCUAGAAAGCCCAAGCUCUGUUUCGUCUGCACUGCAUAUUGCAGAGCACAGGCUGUCUAUAGAAAACCAGGCGGCUGCAUAUGGAUAGUCCCUUGAUAUCAUUCACUUGCUGUGUAAUCUUAUUAUGCAAAGUUCUAAUCUUCACCUAGAAUGAAUGCCUCUGGGUCAGAAUAUAGUCAUAUCAGGGUUUUUGAGGUCAUGUUUUGUGAUCCUUAGCUUAUUCUUCUAAGUAGAGCUGGGAUUUAAAGAGUAUUCCCCAGACACUGGCAGAGAUAGACGGCAAAACCUGCUGCCUUUUUGGAAGACAAGACCAACAUGAGGUCCCUGGUAGGAUUAAACUUGAUUUGUAGCUGUAGGAUUUUUUAACAGAUGUAUUAUUGGACAGGGAAUAGGGGGCCACCAGCACAGCGAAAUUGGAUCACAAUUGGCAUUCUCAGGGAGUCCGCUGGCUGCUAAAACAGCAGCUGCAUGUGGAUUUGACUUCUUUCAGGUGAAGCGACUUCCAGUCAUUUGGAAAGGAUGGGAUGAAAAGGAACCUUGGUGAUAAUUUUGAUGUCUGCAAGAUUUAGUACCAAUGUAAUGGGAUUAUCGGUAACACCUUCGCUGCAGAAAAAGCCACCUGGCGCUAUAACUGGCAGCAACUGAGAACUAAUCCUUUCCCAUCUCUUGGAUGUCAUUCAUGAGGCUCCAAGUGAUUUCUACCCUGCUAGCUGUGAUUAAUUUUAUAAACAAACAAACAAAAACCCGAGUGAUGAAAGCAUAGGCUAUGGAAGGAAGAGGGAGCAGAAGAUACUAGUAAUUACAUUUUGCAUUUUAUUUGCUGUGUAUUUUACAGCUAUACAGUUGUGGUAAAAUAACCAAAUUGUGGUUUUUUGUGAUAAAUAUGAAUGUGUGACCUUUUUUAACCAGUGUUGAUUUCAGCAGAAAUUUUUCAGCUACCUGCUAUAUGAUAGUAGGUAAUACCUGGAAGUAAUUACAACAGGUAUUAGGCCAUUAGUUCUGCAAUAAGGAUGUUUAUACUACAGAGCCAUUAAGUUUUCAAGGGGCCUGUGACUUAAAUAAUUUGUUUUACUGUGCUCAAUGGUCUUAUGUUCGAUCUGGUGGAGUUGCCUGCUGAUGGUACUUUGUAUUAAAAUUGUGUGCUGUGGAAAACUGUUCAGCUGUUUACUUCCGUGUGGUCAACAAUAUGACAUUGUUUCAAAAAUGUAAUGAUAUGAAGUUUUCAGAGGAAACAAUUCUAUUUUAAUGAUGCUCAAGUUGAUUCCUGUGUGGAUUUUUUUUUUCUUUUUAAAUAAACUAGUUUGGUCUGGUGGUUUUUUUUA